rnacentral:lncRNA from 1 species
GUCGGUGAAGAAGGAUGUAGUUUCUCCAGUUUGCCAAAUUCUGUUUGUGCUCCGGGUCAAAUCCCACUAGGUGACCAUGAGCAAUAUUUGGAGCUGGAUGAUCUUGGCGAACCAUUGAAUUACCGUGAUUCUACAUACACUCAGCCUCCUUCUAUGUUCGGUCAGCCUCAUGCUUCGCUGGGAGAGACAUCUUUUCAGGGUGAAGACCAGUUGAACGUGUUUGAUAACGUGAACUUCUGAAGUUAUUAUUGCACUCCAGUCUUUCAAACCAAACUUGUUAAAACGGUUUCGCUAACUUU